rnacentral:rRNA from 1 species
UACGUAGGGGGCUAGCGUUGUCCGGAAUCAUUGGGCGUAAAGCGCGCGUAGGCGGCCCGGUAAGUCCGCUGUAAAAGUCAAAGGCUCAACCUUUGAAUGUCAGUGGAUACUGCCGGGCUAGAGUCCGGAAGAGGCGAGUGGAACUCCUGGUGUAGCGGUGGAAUGCGCAGAUAUCAGGAAGAACACCGACGGCGAAGGCAGCUCGCUGGGACGGUACUGACGCUGAGGAGCGAAAGCAUGGGGGAGCGAACAGG